GAGCCCUUUAAAAGAGAAUCUGGAGAUCAGAGACUUACAGACUCGAAAUAAAUUCUCUUUCUCUCUCUUGCUCUUUUGCUGGCUUUGAAGAAGCAAGAAUUCUACAGCUGCAAGAAAAUGAAUUCUGCCAAUGACCACAUGAACUUGGAAGAGGACCUCAAGCCUCAAACCUCAGAUGAGACCACAGCGCCAGCUGAUAUGUUGACUUGAGGUUUGUGAGACAUUGAGUAGAAGACCCAAUGAAGCCAUGCUCAGACUUGACCCGUAGGAACUGUGAGAAAAGGAAUGAUGACUCCAUGGGCAGAACCAAGAUCUUGGAGAGUGAAACUGAAAGCCUUGGUGGAUUAUUCCCAGGCUUGAAACCUAAUCAAGGAACUCUGGCUGGAUUUCAGAACUGCCAUGGACCAUGUUAAUGCGACAUUUUAAUGUUUUCAAAGAUCUUUGACCUCAUUUCAUAAUCAGUGAAAAUGAGCGAGGAGGACUUGCAUUGUUCAGAUAAGUCAACCACGGGAGGCUGACUUCUACAGACUGUAUCACCAGAUAUCUUUGCUAUCUGGCUACUAUUUGGGUUUGACCAAUAGGAGGCAUCAGUGGAAACUCAGAGGACUGUUGCUGAGCCAACACCUGUGCCAAGGAUGCCGCCACAGCAUGGUUUAAAGAAUAGUAUGUAGGUCUGUGCCAGGGAUCUGAACCCACAAACCCCAGGCCAUCAAAGUGGAGCACGUGAACUUAACCACUAUGCCACUGGCCUGGCCCCUGGACAGCAAAGUUUUAAACCCCUGCUGGAAAGAAUGAAUAAAGU
rnacentral:lncRNA from 1 species